GGUUGGGUGGCUGAGGUUUAAGGCGGUAAUCUGUAAAUUUAUUAACGAAUUUUUCUCCAACCA
rnacentral:tRNA from 1 species